UUGAAGAGUUUGAUCAUGGCUCAGAUUGAACGCUGGCGGCAGGCCUAACACAUGCAAGUCGAACGGUAACAGGAAGCAGCUUGCUGCUUCGCUGACGAGUGGCGGACGGGUGAGUAAUGUCUGGGAAACUGCCUGAUGGAGGGGGAUAACUACUGGAAACGGUAGCUAAUACCGCAUAACGUCGCAAGACCAAAGAGGGGGACCUUCGGGCCUCUUGCCAUCGGAUGUGCCCAGAUGGGAUUAGCUUGUUGGUGGGGUAACGGCUCACCAAGGCGACGAUCCCUAGCUGGUCUGAGAGGAUGACCAGCCACACUGGAACUGAGACACGGUCCAGACUCCUACGGGAGGCAGCAGUGGGGAAUAUUGCACAAUGGGCGCAAGCCUGAUGCAGCCAUGCCGCGUGUAUGAAGAAGGCCUUCGGGUUGUAAAGUACUUUCAGCGGGGAGGAAGGGAGUAAAGUUAAUACCUUUGCUCAUUGACGUUACCCGCAGAAGAAGCACCGGCUAACUCCGUGCCAGCAGCCGCGGUAAUACGGAGGGUGCAAGCGUUAAUCGGAAUUACUGGGCGUAAAGCGCACGCAGGCGGUUUGUUAAGUCAGAUGUGAAAUCCCCGGGCUCAACCUGGGAACUGCAUCUGAUACUGGCAAGCUUGAGUCUCGUAGAGGGGGGUAGAAUUCCAGGUGUAGCGGUGAAAUGCGUAGAGAUCUGGAGGAAUACCGGUGGCGAAGGCGGCCCCCUGGACGAAGACUGACGCUCAGGUGCGAAAGCGUGGGGAGCAAACAGGAUUAGAUACCCUGGUAGUCCACGCCGUAAACGAUGUCGACUUGGAGGUUGUGCCCUUGAGGCGUGGCUUCCGGAGCUAACGCGUUAAGUCGACCGCCUGGGGAGUACGGCCGCAAGGUUAAAACUCAAAUGAAUUGACGGGGGCCCGCACAAGCGGUGGAGCAUGUGGUUUAAUUCGAUGCAACGCGAAGAACCUUACCUGGUCUUGACAUCCACAGAACUUUCCAGAGAUGGAUUGGUGCCUUCGGGAACUGUGAGACAGGUGCUGCAUGGCUGUCGUCAGCUCGUGUUGUGAAAUGUUGGGUUAAGUCCCGCAACGAGCGCAACCUUAUCCUUUGUUGCCAGCGGUCCGGCCGGGAACUCAAAGGAGACUGCCAGUGAUAAACUGGAGGAAGGUGGGGAUGACGUCAAGUCAUCAUGGCCCUUACGACUACACGUGCUACAAUGGCGCAUACAAAGAGAAGCGACCUCGCGAGAGCAAGCGGACCUCAUAAAGUGCGUCGUAGUCCGGAUUGAGUCUGCAACUCGACUCCAUGAAGUCGGAAUCGCUAGUAAUCGUGGAUCAGAAUGCCACGGUGAAUACGUUCCGGGCCUUGUACACACCGCCCGUCACACCAUGGGAGUGGGUUGCAAAAGAAGGUAGCAACCUUCGGGAGGGCGCUUACCACUUUGUGAUUCAUGACUGGGGUGAAGUCGUAACAAGGUAACCGUAGGGGAACCUGCGGUUGGAUCACCUCCUU
rnacentral:rRNA from 1 species